UAGAGUCUAUGGAAAUCAGGAACAGUUGGUAACUGCUGGCAUGGACGUUACUAUUGCAUUCUGCCGACUGUAGCACAGUAUUUCACUCCUGGCUCUUGUCUGGCAUGUUUCGCCUCUCUGUUUGCCCUCCACAGAUGGAGUAGACUAAGGAGGGAGGUGUAGGAGGCAGUGGGUGCAUUUUGAGAGGCUGGGAAUCUGUUCGCCUCUUUGCAUUCUGCUCACACAUGGUAAAUCCUAUUGUUGCCCACGAUGCUUUGCGUCGUGCUGGUCACCAUGGCAACCCCACAGCACCACGGCAGCCCUGAUGAAGGCUACAGCAGGGACUGACAGUGGGAGAAAACCAGUCAACCCAGAGGAAACCCACUCAAACACAUAGGGAGGACAUGUGAAAUUCUCACAGAAUGUAACAUGAUCUCAGGCCUGAGCCCAGGACACUGGAACUGUGAACUGGCAUUACCACCUAUCAUCCAGCUAUGAAGAGCUGUAGAAAAACAGCACAAACAAAACGAGGUAAUCAUGUCUAUGCACAGUACUUUUUCUUCCUCUGCA